rnacentral:pre_miRNA from 1 species
GCACUUCUCUCCCUAAAAUUCUUAUCUUAAAUUUGUCUAAAUACGGAUGUAUCAAGUCACGUUUUAAUAUUAGAUACAUUCGCAUAUAGAUGAAUCUAAGACCAGAAUUUUGGGACGGAGGGAAUAUG